AGUCGCGCCACGGGUCGCCACUCACUGUCGCAGGAGGAAGGGUGCUGUCCCGCGCGGGUGCUGAGACCUCAUUCCGGAGAGGCGGCGGGAGGAAGGGCUUUGAUGGGUUCUUCCGUCCCGGCCCCACAAGGCUGGGACGAAAAGCAAAACCCAGUCAGCAUCCCGUUGAGCCUCUGCCGCCCCUGCUUGUCUCUCCUCCCCCGCUCUCAAAAAUGGCGGCUCUCGGGGCGCGGAAGAAAGCAUCGAUCGUUCGGCGCUCUGCCCACUUGGCGGGGCGAAACUAAACUCGCCGAGGAAAGAUAAGGGGGCGGGGCUGACGUUGAGAAAGCUGGAGGGCAGGGAAAUGGGCCGAGUCCUGCAUCAUCCACCGAGUGGGGGCUGUGGAUAGGUGCGGCGCUGCUUCCCUGGAGGGAAACGCUCCAUCUUGCGGGCCGAAGCGCGAGUGCUGCUCUGUGACAGCCUCCGGCCGCGGCCUUCCCAGCUGCUACCGCCGCUUUUCGGAUGGGCUGUGAUAGAUGGAGUAGCAGCGAAGACUGCUAGAAGAGCGUUUUCAGUCGGCCUUUAGUGAUUCGUAAAACCAAAUUAGCUGGUUUCUACUUGGAAGGGGUACAGGUGCGUGUGGUGGUUCCAGUUUUCUGUGAAAUAGAGUUA
rnacentral:lncRNA from 10 species